GCUCCCGUAGCUUAACGGAUAAAGUAGCGGUCUUCGAAACCGCUGAUAGAGGUUCAAUUCCUCUCGGGAGCA
rnacentral:tRNA from 2 species